rnacentral:tRNA from 1 species
GAUUAAAUGGCUGAAUUAUAGGCAUUAAAUUGUAAAUUUAAUUAUGAAAAAAAAUUUCUUUAAUCA